AAACCAACCGGGAUUGCCUCAGUAACGGCGAGUGAAGCGGCAAAAAGCUCAAAUUUGAAAUCUGGCACUUUCAGUGUCCGAGUUGUAAUUUGUAGAAGUAGUUUUGGGACUGGUCCUUAUCUAUGUUUCUUGGAACAGGACGUCAUAGAGGGUGAGAACCCCGUAUGAUGAGGCCCCCAGUCCUUUGUAAAGCGCUUUCGAAGAGUCGAGUUGUUUGGGAAUGCAGCUCUAAGUGGGUGGUAAAUUCCAUCUAAAGCUAAAUAUUGGCGAGAGACCGAUAGCGAACAAGUACAGUGAUGGAAAGAUGAAAAGAACUUUGAAAAGAGAGUGAAAAAGUACGUGAAAUUGUUGAAAGGGAAGGGCAUUUGAUCAGACAUGUGUUUUGCGCCCUUUGCUCCUUGUGGGCGAGGAUACGCAGCUCACUGGGCCAACAUCAGUUUUGGGAGCAGGAUAAAUCUGUAGGAACGUAGCUUUCUUCGGGAAGUGUUAUAGCCUAUGGGAAUACUGCUACCUGGGUA
rnacentral:rRNA from 1 species